UGGGGAAUAUUGCGCAAUGGGGGGAACCCUGACGCAGCCAUGCCGCGUGAAUGAAGAAGGCCUUCGGGUUGUAAAGUUCUUUCGGUAUUGAGGAAGGUUGAUGUGUUAAUAGCACAUCAAAUUGACGUUAAAUACAGAAGGAGCACCGGCUAACUCCGUGCCAGCAGCCGCGGUAAUACGGAGGGUGCGAGCGUUAAUCGGAAUAACUGGGCGUAAAGGGCACGCAGGCGGUUAUUUAAGUGAGGUGUGAAAGCCCUGGGCUUAACCUAGGAAUUGCAUUUCAGACUGGGUAACUAGAGUACUUUAGGGAGGGGUAGAAUUCCACGUGUAGCGGUGAAAUGCGUAGAGAUGUGGAGGAAUACCGAAGGCGAAGGCAGCCCCUUGGGAAUGUACUGACGCUCAUGUGCGAAAGCGUGGGGAGCAAACAGGAUUAGAUACCCUGGUAGUCCACGCUGUAAACGCUGUCGAUUUGGGGGUUGGGGUUUAACUCUGGCGCCCGUAGCUAACGUGAUAAAUCGACCGCCUGGGGAGUACGGCCGCAAGGUUA
rnacentral:rRNA from 1 species